AAUAAUAAGCAGUUUAAUAAUCGAAGACUUAAAAAGGUAAGCAGGACGCACCGUAGACCGCGGAGAUCCUGGUUCGUAAUUCCCUGUUCCUAAUUGGUCUCUAGCACACAACACCUAUGAAAUAUUUAUAGCCCAGGAGGAACACACUAAUUUUGAGAAGUGAGCGAGAAUUUCACCGCGCCAUUUGGGUCGCGGGCGCAAGAAGAUAUCGGUGAAGAUGUCCUGCCUCGUUUUCGUGUUCGUUAUGGGGACGGUUAGGACUCGUGUGCUUUCGUCCAUGUUUGUUUUGCUUCGCAGGAUUGGAGGAUUAUAUUUUUCUUUUUGUUUUUAGGUAAGUAUUCAUCUGAAGUUUCAAAUUAUUGCAUAAAUUAGAUUGGCCUUUGUUUUAGAGGUUUUUCCAUGUUUCUAUGAGUGUUUAGAUUGAUGUUUUCGGAGAACUUUACUGCAUUCCAGCUCUGUAAAUAUCCUUCGGCCCUAUCGAGAAGAGCUCGUACAAUUAAUGAAACGAGUCAGUGCACUCAACAAUCAAAUGAGCCGAGUCAUUGUACUUGGUGGCCAUUGGGCCAAAUAACUAGUGAAAUUCUGUGUGAACAAGAAGUGAACCCCAAUAUGUCCUACGUUAUGAAAACGCAUUUCUUGGAUGUACUAAACAAUACAAAUUAUCAACAAGAAUCAAACACUUAUGCACAAAAUAAGGAGAAUCAGGACAAUUUAGACCUUGACAUCAGUUAAUUGUGCAAAAUUAAAAGUCAAUUCUAUAGAAAAACUAUUAGAAUAUGUUCAAGAGACAAUAAAAGGUGCUGUAUCAUAGGGACCGAGCACCAUCAAGAUCUCCAAUAAAAAAAUUCAUGAAAAUCCUCAGCAAACGAAAGCUAAGAAAGGCACUAAAGCAUAAACUCAGAACAACCAUACCAUGUGUAUUUUAGCAGACUCUUUCUAAAACCAAGAACCACACAAAACAUGAAUAAUUACCAGUUUAUCUUCUCAAAACCAACAACGCCUUCCUUGAGAGGAGGCAUGUUUUGUAAUACUGGUGAAUAAUUACCAUGGAAUACUUUAGUCAGGAAGUUAGCAAUGAUUGGUUUAACUCCUGUUGAUGUAGGUGGCAGUGGGGCCUGCUUUUUUAAAGCAUUUGCUGACCAGUUGUAUAGAAAGCCAGAAUUACAUUAUGAAGUGCGCAUUAUUGACUCACUUGAACUCACAUCCAGACCUUUAUAUUGAAAGUCUGAGUAGUGAUGCAUGGCAGAACUAUAUUCAUGAAAUGUCAAAUCUGUUGGUUAGCGGUCAGUACACGACUUGGUGUCGGAAGUGGGAUAUGUCGAACCCAAAGAGACCGGAGCUAGAGCAGGCCGUUCUAAGUGUUCUAAGUGUGCUGGCAAUGAUCAUUUCGCCCGAGUCUGUUUAGAAGAACACAAUCCCCAAGCGUCCGGUUCGAACCAGCGACAACAACAAGCAAGAGGAAGACCUCAGGCAAGGGGAUAUAACCAGCGCAGUCGGCGGGGCUAUCCACGUGCCCGCGCCUCGCCUCGACCAAGGGAUGUCCAUUACACCGAUAUAUGUGAAGAGCAGCAAUAUGGUUCAGCUCCCAACCCCGACUAUGGCUUCGAUAUGUACGCACUGGAAGCACAAGUACACAACAUAGAUACAGACAGCCCCUCCAAAAGCCUGGGAAAGCGCUAUUUCACAACUCUACCACUUUCAACGACAGUGUCGUCUUUCAAGCUGGUCAAGUUUCAGAUCGACACAGCAGCUACCUGCAACACGAUGUCUUACAACACACUGCAGUCAGUGCUACCAGACGCAGAAAUCAAGCGGCCCCCAUAUCUCCUGUACCCCUAUGGAAACUCCAAGCCACUCCAACCAGUUGGCCAAGUAGAACUGGUAUGCGACAAGUCGGACAAGUACGAAACACUAGUCUUCCAAAUCUUACCAGACUCCUGCAUUGGCCUUAAGCCUGCACUACUCUCUGGGAGCGACAGUGAACUCCUCAGACUAAUCAAGGUGCAAGCAGAGGAGAUCUAUUCCCUCUCCUCGUCAGUGGUCCACACUGCCACCAAGACCGAAGAUCUCCCAGGGUUCCAAACGACACCUCCAAAAGUGGAAGAGGUCAGUCAGCACGGCAUACGUCCACCUACAACAAGUACACGAAAUCACCACAAACCCGUGUCAGCCCAUUCCCUCUCCUUCAGCGCCGAUCAGUGUUAAAAGAGACCUCCGCCUCCAACCACCGGGUAAUCUGAGAAAGGAAGACAUACUUACUCAAUACGCCGACAGCUUUGAAGGACUCGGAUUAUUGGGUCCCCCUGUACACUUCCAGUUAGACGAAAGCAUACAGCCUGUUCAAAUGCCGGUUCACAGAAUACCAGUAGCCAAACGAGAAAAGGAGAAAGAAGCCCUGGACCGGUAUGUCAAGGCCGAUGUCCUCGCCAAGGUGACCGACCUAACAAGUUGGAUGGGCUCGCGUUAGAAAUACCUCUGCCUCAAGACACCCAGGGACAACCGAAAACGCUUAACCCGGCAAGACAGACAAGAUCUGGGAGGGAAGUCAAAACUCCACAGAGACUUAAAGAUUAUCUUCUCAAGUAGCUGAUGUUUAGAACCACUCUUUAGGGACCAUCAUCAUCAUAGGAACACUGUAGAACGUUAUGGUUAACCGUUAAGGCGUUGUUUGUUUUAUUUUAUUAUAAUUUAAUUUUCGUUAAAAAGGGGAGAUGUUGGUCAGCGGUCUGCUGGUCAGCGGCAGACCGUUUGACUGUACGAUUGAAGUCCGCCAUGUUGGAUUGGGAAUAAAUGUACAGUCACUCAUAGUUAGCUCAUUGCUCGUCCUGUGUACACGACUAAUCCAACAACAUGGUUUGAUAAUAUUAUCGUUCAAGCUGUAGGUAACGCAUUUAACUGUGUUAUUCAUAUUGUGAAAUAAUGUCAUCAAGUUGAAGAAUUAUUUACAGCCGUGAUGAAAGUGGAUUCAAGAAUGUGAACAGAUAAAUGCUGAAACAUUGACUUAAAUAGAAAUCUUAGUGGAUCAAUUCUCUUACAAGCUAUUUUGUACUACUUGUUGCUUGAGUACCCUUAUAUAAUCCGUCCCUAACAGAAGUUCAUAGAUUGCAAAUUAAUCAAUCCCUCUCAUCGCGAGAAGUUACUGAGGUAAACAUGAAAUAAUUUACUUGAGUGCAACAGCAAAGAGUGCGCGCUCUCGCGAUGAAUGAAUCUUGGAGAGACGGAAAGUCAACUGCGAUGAUCGCGAAAGUUUAGUCCUUGACUGAACCUCCCAGCACUCACUUUCUAUCAGAAAAACUAAUUGUAAAAUAAUUUUUCUUUAAAGUCCUAAAAUAACCCUUUGGUGAACAUCCCAAAAUAUGCUUUUUGUUAUAUUUCGAUGCAAAACAACAGGGAACCCGCGUCGUGAAAAUCAAACCAGGUUCCGGUCUUAAAUGUGCAGCUAUCUGCCUGCCUAACUAUCCGCCUGUCAGGGCCAGACAAAUCUGCCCUCGCAGAUGCCUUUUGGUCACAGGCGAGAGAGAUAAAGCUAUCUUGCCAACUGAAUAUAACAUCCAAUAUGUGCUUGACGGCGGCGCGCUACUCCACAGUAUUCCAUGGACUAACGGUAUGACGUAUGAUGGAAUUGUCGGCCUCUACGUGCAAGUCAAGCGAAAGUACGGCAAAGCAAUUAUCUUAUUUAACGGUUAUGAAGAAGGAACAACAACGAAAGACAGCACUCAUCAGAGGUCAACAGCUUGAGAACUUACCGCUAAAUUCACUCCUUGUGUGCUUUUGAAGUCCAAGAAGGGAGCCUUUCUUGCAAACCUUGUAAACAAUCAAGGAUUCAUCAACCUACUAGGUGAAAGAUUGAAGGAAGCCAAGUGCACGACGUGCUUCGGGAGAUGCAGAUCUUCUAAUUGUACAGACAGCAUUGAAGUUGGCAAUGUCAAGUUUGACCGUGCUGGUUGGUGGCGCAUGAAGUUAAUUUUGCAGCAGAGCCAGAGCAGAGGUCGACGAAGCCAGAGCGGAUAUGGAACAUGAAGAAGACGGUUUCAGCGCGAGGCCCCCGCAUAUGCAAGCACAUCCUAUCCCUACACGCCAUUUUAGGAUGUGACACGAAAUCAAGGGUACAGGGAAAGGCAUGGCAUUGUAAAAGGUAACGAAUCCAUCUUUUGCCUAGCAAGCCGAAUCCUUUCUUAAUCGCAACACAGAUGAACCAUUUACGUCUAAAUGACGCAAGAGUAGCGCAGAAAACAAGCCUGACCCAGGCAAAAACGAGGAGAAUUCAAGACCUCGACAAACUCACCCCUUCACCUUUGACGGGAAAAGCACAUGCUCGACACGAGCAGGCAAAAAGACUCUGAUUCAGAGGACGCUUUUCUGACCGAAAUCGCGUCAGAACUGGUAAACGAGGACGAUAAAGCUCUUGCCAUUUCGGGGGAAUUGGCCAAAAUAAUGAAUGACCGAUGGCCAAAUAAUCUCUCGGACGAGAAACAAGAGAGAAAACGGGAAAGUGCUGGCGCCCGUCCAAGUGUGAGUCACUCACAACACGGAGAGUUAAGCCUAGAAAUUUGGGAAAAAACUAGACCACCCUGUCAAACAACACCUACGGUCAAUGGACUUCAGAAACGCAUUUCUUGUGUUGGCAUGGCAUUGUGUAAUUCGACCGAAACGUUAAUCGAGCUAAAAAAAAAACUCCAACCUAAUGUGAUAGGAGUACCGGUCAAAAUGAAUUCUGAUGCGGCCGCCAUUUUAUGCCAUGUUAAUAGGGAGUUGUCUCUCCUAAGACGACAUGGAAUCCAACCUCAGCUAGAAUGUGAAAGCCUUUGUGCUCCCACUGUUCCAAUUACAAAGCUCCUGUUUGGAGAUUAGAGUAAAAAGUCGAUCGGAACUCCAACGUUGAGCAACAAGUUUAGAAAUAACAACUAAAAUCGAGGUGGAAAGCAGCCCUCUUUUAUCGAGACAAAAUCAACAGAAUCACGGGAAGAAACAGUGAACUCCUCCAUUGGAAUCAAUUCCCUCACAACAUUACAGGUAAAUAAACACGUAAUAUUUUAGAGUGCAAUAUUUUGAAGUAGCAUUUUUUUGAAAGAGUUUACAUAAAAAAAUGAAUAUUUUUGCCAACUCGAAAAAAAGUGGUAAAAAACGAAAGUUUUAAAAUCAACAGAAACAGAAUCACUUGAAGAAACAUUGAACUUCUCCAUUGGAAUCAAUUCCCUCAAGACAUUACAGGUAUAUAAACACGAAAUAUUUUAGUAGGCAAUAUUCUAAAGUAGCAUAUUUUGAAAGUUUUUACAUGAAAAUUGAAUACUUUUGCCAACUCGGAGAAUAGUGGUAAAAACGAAAUUUUACCACUAAAAACAGCAAAUGGCAAGAAUAUGUUGUUAAAUUGUUUAAUAUUUUGUGACAAGGGUAAUCACAAAUACGUCUCACAACGGUACGCUAUAUUUAGAAUACAGAAGGGGUUGGAAGUUUCUAGCCACCUAGCUGAUUGUCAUGGCUUAGGUCUUUUUUUGCCAAGGAAAAGUGGUCAGAAAUGUCUAUCCAACCCAGCUGAUUGUCAUGGCUUUUAGGUCUUUUUGUUGCUAAGAAAAAGUGGUCAGAAUGUUUUUGCCAAUUGCUCGCUGGUUAUGGCUAUGACUACUUCUUUUGCGAUGUAAAAGUAGUAAAAAAAAAUAAUUUUGUUGAAGGAGGUGUCAGAAUUCGCUGGUUAAACAAUGCUGUUUGCCAUGAAAGGGCAUAUCCUUCAAAUACUUAAGAAUCUUGGUAAUGUAAAUUAAUCCAAUACAUAUUUCUGUUAUUUUAAAAUAUAUUGUAAUUUUAUUUUACCUGAACUAAUUUUGGAAAGCCCAUUGACAAUCCAAGUCCAUACAUAACCGCCGCAGAUUGACUAUGAUUCAUGGCAUGAUGCAUGUAUGAUGUCAGGCCCUCGAGUAAUAACUAUUGUUUGUUUAAUGUUUAACUAGUUAGCGAUUAACGGCGUGUAAUUUGAGUAAAAGACGAGAGAAGGAAACACGAGUAAAGUCCUAGGUUUUGGGAACCAUUUGUUGUGUGAAUUGAUUAGACAAGUGUUACAUUUAGGGGCUCUGACAAAUAUUGAAGUAUUUGGACAAGCUUGGGUUGUUUGCGAGGGACUUAGCAAGAUGAAGGACUCAGCAAAAUUCUGAGGAUGUUGUUCGACCAGGGUCCAAAAGCCAGGUUGCAGUACUGGACAUCAAAAGGAAAGUAGCGGACGUCGAUAUUACACCCAGAUUUUAAGAUCGCUGGUGCCAGCCAAGAAAUGUUGCCAUCGUGGGAUACGAUGACAUUGGUAUCGAUCUUAUUGUUCAGGUUGCCAAAGUCUGUAUUUACUCUGCCAGAUAAAGUAAAAGUUUUAUUAUCAAACUAAAUGGAAAUGUCCUGUUCAACCAGUUUAAACGCGGUUCUACUGUAUUUUUCUGAGAUCAAUAAAUAGUUUUUGUAAUGAUUGCCACUAAGAAUUGGCCCGGAAUAUGCAUGUGUUGGUGAACGUGUAAAUGAUGUUUAUAAAUAUAAUGAAGACUUCUGAAUAUAGUCGAAAUAUAGCUGCU